GACGAACGCUGGCGGCGUGCUUAACACAUGCAAGUCGAACGGAAAGGCCCUGCUUGCAGGGUGCUCGAGUGGCGAACGGGUGAGUAACACGUGGGUGAUCUGCCCCUUACUUUGGGAUAAGCCUGGGAAACUGGGCCAAUACCUGAUUAGACCAUUCUUGCUGGGGGUGGGGUGAAAGGAUUAUUUUCGGUAGGGGAUGAGCUCGCGGCCUAUCAGCUUGUUGUUGGGGUAAUGGCCUACCAAGGCGUCGACGGGUAGCCGGCCUGAGAGGGUGGACGGCCACAUUGGGACUGAGAUACGGCCCAGACUCCUACGAGAGGCAGCAGUGGGGAAUAUUGCACAAUGGGCGCAAGCCUGAUGCAGCGACGCCGCGUGGGGGAUGACGGCCUUCGGGUUGUAAACUCCUUUCAGCCAUGACGAAGCCCUUGUGGUGACGGUAGUGGUAGAAGAAGCACCGGCUAACUACGUG
rnacentral:rRNA from 1 species